UACGGGGGGAGCAAGCGUUGUUCGGAUUUACUGGGCGUAAAGGGCGUGUAGGCGGCCACUGCAAGUCGGUUGUGAAAUCUCCGGGCUUAACCCGGAAAGGUCAACCGAUACUGCAGGGCUAGAGUGCAGAAGGGGCAACUGGAAUUCUCGGUGUAGCGGUGAAAUGCGUAGAUAUCGAGAGGAACACCUGCGGCGAAGGCGGGUUGCUGGGCUGACACUGACGCUGAUGCGCGAAAGCUAGGGGAGCGAACGGG
rnacentral:rRNA from 1 species